UAGUUUACUUUGUUUUGGGGAAAUCCAUAUUCCAUAUCUGUCUGCUAGCUGCCGCUGCUGCUGCCGCUGCAGCAUCACAUUUCCGCAAUAGUUUCUCUCUUCUGCUGGUCCUUUAGGGAGGCAUAAGUAGAUUACUUUGAUAUAGACCAUAAAAUGUUUGAGCUCUCACCUUGAUCUCAUCUCUUGUAAUGAUCUUCUUGAUUUUAGGGUUUCCUCCAUGCCCAUGGUUCUGAUUCACUCUAAAUCAGUGAUAUUUGAAAAAGUGUAGCGAUGGAAGGCUGGACUGGCAAGGACUAUAAGCAAAGUUCAGUGGAUGUUACAAACACUGAGGAAACUAGUGAUGCGGUGAAAGAAAGGUCUAGAGAUCAGAGACUGGCUUUCCCUGGAGACCCGAAAUGUGUGAUAUGCGGCCGCUAUGGUGAAUACAUAUGUGAUGAGACAGAAGAUGAUAUUUGCAGCUUGGAAUGCAAACGGACUCUACUUAGCAGGAUCAGUAACUCUUCCAGAGGUGGUCAUCCACCUUCAAAGAAAUUACCGACAAUUGACGAGUGCUAUUAUGUUAAAGAUGGCAAUGAUAAAACAGGAUCUCAGUCUUUACCUAGUGACCAAUCUGAAGUGCUUAGGAUGAGACUUGGCAUCCAUGUGAAGGGAAAUUCAGUUCCUGCACCCAUUUUGUCUUUCCCCUCUUGCCACCUUCCGCAGAAGCUUCUAGAAAAUAUCGAAUCUUCUGGGUAUGAAAUGCCCACGCCUGUUCAGAUGCAAGCAAUUCCUGCGGCUUUGACCGGCAAAAGCCUGCUUGUUUCGGCUGAUACAGGGUCAGGGAAAACAGCAGCCUUUUUGGUUCCUGUAAUUACAUACUGUGCAAAUAAUGGCCUGCAGAACUCUACCAAUGGGAGAAAGCCCCGUGCUAUUGUAUUGGAACCAACUAGGGAGCUCUGUAUACAAGUUGAGGAGCAAGCAAAGAUGCUUGGCAAGGGUUUGCCUUUCAAAACUGCACUUGUGGUUGGAGGUGACCCUAUGGCUGGACAACUUUAUCGCAUUCAGGAAGGAGUUGAAUUGAUAGUGGGGACUCCAGGAAGACUUAUUGAUCUAUUGACCAAGCAUGACAUUGAACUAGACGACGUCAUGGUUUUUGUUUUGGAUGAGGUGGAUUGCAUGCUUCAGCGGGGCUUCCGUGAUCAGGUGAUGCAGAUCUUUAGGGCAUUAUCACAACCCCAACUGUUGAUGUAUUCAGCAACUAUCUCUCCGGAAGUUGAGAAGAUGGCAGGAACCAUGGUCAAAGAUGUAACUGUUGUCUCCGUCGGCAAGCUCAAUACUUCAAAUAAAGCAGUGAAGCAUAUAGCUAUCUGGGUGGAGACAAAGCAAAAGAAGCAGAAACUUUUCGAUGUGCUGAUGAGCAAGCAGCAUUUUAAGCCACCAGCAGUGGUGUAUGUGGGUUCUAGACUUGGUGCAGAUAUGCUAGCCAAUGCAAUAGCUGUUAAGACUGGAAUGAAAGCCUUAUCAAUGCAUGGGGAGAAGUCUAUGAAGGAGAGGAGAGAAAUCAUGCAGUUAUUUUUUAUGGGAGAAUGCCCUGUCAUUGUUGCAACUGGAAUUUUAGGUCGGGGAGUUGACUUGUUGGGUGUGAGACAGGUGAUCGUUUUUGACAUGCCAAAUUCAAUUAAGGAAUAUGUCCACCAGGUUGGGAGGGCAUCUAAGUUAGGUGAGGAGGGUACAGCAGUUGUGUUUGUGAAUGAGGAGAAUAAGAAUGUGCUCCCUGAUUUGGUCGAACUUCUAAGAGCUUCCGGUGCCCCUAUUCCUCGGGAGCUCCUUAAUUCGCAAUACAUAAGGAGUUUUGCUUCUGCUGGCAAGGGGCAGAAAAAGAGGAAGCAUCGCUACUAAGGUGAAUGCUUUCCAGGAACAAAAAGUUCUUAUAGCAACCUCUCGUCAUGCAGACAUGAUGUCGCUUGUCACAAAAGAUGGGCGAAAUAUAGUGGGGGAUGUUAAGCGGUUUUGACCAAGCUACGAACAUCAAUUUCAAUGAAUCUCAUGAUCAUGUGUGUCCUCUACCAUGGUUUGUCUCCGUGUGCGUUGUAACAAUUUGCAAGUUCCUUGUCUUCUCUCUGUGCAAUGGCUUUCGAGGAUCUUCUUAGUUUCUGUGAAUGGUUGCUGUGAUUUUCUUGGAUUGCUUCAGUUGCCUGGGAAAUGUUAAACAUCUAAAGCUGGAGCUGUGCAGCAACUGGUGCUGGGUGUCUACAUAAUCUGGGGAGACUAAAUUGUGAUGCCAUAUUUAGGGUGCCUCUUUACUUUAGAGAAAAACGAUUGCCUCGACAAUAGGUGCAUGUUGAAUCAGGAUCAUUGCAGCGUCAUUAACGGGGAACUAACUGCUAGCCUUGAUCUGUCUGCACCGCUAGGGACUAAUUCCUUGGAAAUAAGAUAUCCAGUGUCCACCGAUAAACGGCGAGAUCGUCUUUCUGGGGAUAGCUGCAGAUUAUGCUAAAUGUCAUGUGAAGAUGACAAAUACUAAUGCUUUACAGAGAAUUCCUCCGUCCCAACGUCAAUGGAUGCGGAUGACUAGAGCUUGAGCUCGACAAUGUUCAAGUUUUGUGUUGGAUGGAAGGAGGAGCUCGAAGUUGAUCAGUCUUUCAAAACUAUUAACAAAAGUAGCAGUGACUCUUUUUUUUUGGACGAAAGAAAAUUGUAUUAAUUGUUCAUAAGAAUACACGAGAAGUACAUAAA